rnacentral:rRNA from 1 species
AUUGAACGCUGGCAGCAGGCCUAACACAUGCAAGUCGAACGAGUGGCGGACGGGUGAGUAAUGUCUGGGAAACUGCCCGAUGGAGGGGGAUAACUACUGGAAACGGUAGCUAAUACCGCAUACCAUCGGAUGUGCCCAGAUGGGAUUAGCUAGUAGGUGGGGUAACGGCUCACCUAGGCGACGAUCCCUAGCUGGUCUGAGAGGAUGACCAGCAACACGGGAAAUGAGACACGGUCCAGACUCCUACGGGAGGCAGAAGUGAGCAAUAUUGCACAAUAGGCGCAAGCCUUAUGCAGCCAUGCCGCGGGUAUGAAGAAGGCCUUCGGGUUGUAAAGUACUUUCAGCGAGGAGGCGUUACGCGCAGAAGAAGCACCGGCUAACUCCGUGCCAGCAGCCGCGGUAAUUC